rnacentral:rRNA from 1 species
UACGUAGGAUGCAAGCGUUGUCCGGAAUUAUUGGGCGUAAAGAGCGCGCAGGCGGUAUGACAAGUCAGAUGUGAAAGAGGCCGGCUUAACCGGCAAGGGUCAUUUGAAACUGUCAGACUAGAGUGCAGCAGAGGAUAGUGGAAUUCCCGGUGUAGUGGUGAAAUGCGUAGAUAUCGGGAGGAACACCAGUGGCGAAGGCGACUAUCUGGGCUGCAACUGACGCUGAGGCGCGAAAGGCUAGGGUAGCAAACAGG